GUGAAUCAUCGAAUUUUUGAACGCAAAUUGCACUCUUUGGUAUUCCGGAGAGUAUGCCUGUUUGAGGGUCAGUAUAAUUAAAAAUCGGUGUGGUUGAUGACUUUAGUGGUGACGUAGCGGACUUGGGUCGUGUUGGUUUGGGUUAAGUGACCUAAACUUUCGGAUGAUUUUUUUUGAACGUAUUUAAAUGAUUUUACGUACGUUUGCGAUAUGGAAUACUAGGUGUGGUAGUACUUAUG
rnacentral:misc_RNA from 1 species